rnacentral:rRNA from 1 species
GAAAGGAAAUAUUCGGUAAAAGAUGGGCCCGCAUCUGAUUAGCUAGUUGGUGAGAUAACAGCCCACCAAGGCAACGAUCAGUAGCCGACCUGAGAGGGUGACCGGCCACAUUGGGACUGAGACACGGCCCAAACUCCUACGGGAGGCAGCAGUGGGGAAUAUUGCACAAUGGGGGGAACCCUGAUGCAGCAACGCCGCGUGAAGGAAGACGGUUUUCGGAUUGUAAACUUCUAUCAAUAGGGAAGAAAGAAAUGACGGUACCUAAAUAAGAAGCCCCGGCUAACUACGUGCCAGCAGCCGCGGUAAUACGUAGGGGGCAAGCGUUAUCCGGAAUUACUGGGUGUAAAGGGAGAGUAGGCGGCAAGGUAAGCGAUAUGUGAAAGCCUUAGGCUUAACCUGAGGAUUGCAUAACGAACUAUCUAGCUAGAGUACAGGAGAGGAAAGCGGAAUUCCUAGUGUAGCGGUGAAAUGCGUAGAUAUUAGGAAGAACACCAGUGGCGAAGGCGGCUUUCUGGACUGAAACUGACGCUGAGGCUCGAAAGCGUGGGGAGCGAACAGGAUUAGAUACCCUGGUAGUCCACGCUGUAAACGAUGAGUGCUAGGUGUCGGGGAGGAAUCCUCG